rnacentral:misc_RNA from 1 species
GAAGCGAGGAAAGAAGAAGAAGAAAAAGAAGAACAAAGAGGACAAUGGAGAGGAACUCCAAGCUGCUGUUGAAAUUAAAAAGAAGAAAAAGAAGUCCAAAGUUCAAGAUGAUGAAUAAAUGUACAAUUUUUUCUAAUCUUGGUCUUGUUAUUUUGACGGUUUUUGGUCACCUCUUAUAGUUGCCUGUAUGCUCCUAGGUUAGAUUUUUGUCUGUCUUUCAAUUUCGCGUGUAUCAAACACUCCUCUUAUUUACUAUUAUCAGGAUGGUCUUAUCAUG